AAAGUUGUCCAAAUGAAGUUCUUCCAGGGGCGGAUCUACCGGGGUGGCACGGGUAAUAAAAAGCUGUGCCACCCCAGAAUUAUCACAGAAUAAAAUAUACAUGUAAGCAGUGUUUCAUGUGAUGCUUUUCAGCCGCGGCGAUGACAGCGUAAUGGAAGAUAAUGGCAAAAAAAAAACAACAACAAAAAACACGCCUUUCACUAAAGUGUGCACGAUGGUUGCACGCGCACGCAGCGCGCCCAGUGUAGUCGGCUUCAUUAACAAAUGACUCUUAUGAGUCGGUUCUUUUUGAGUCAAAAACACAAAGCGCAGCCCAUUCACUAACGAAUUGUUUUUACUUUUGUUAGUGAAUCAGAUAAUGCUUCUCGGUUUAUUCAGAAGUCCUCUGAUAAAUCUAAUCCCGUCCAGAUAUGUCUGAGAUUCAUCGUGUAAUUGUUUGGUGAUCGGUUCUCCGACCGCUCGCUCCACUUUCAUCAUGGAUAUAGAGGCCUUUCUGCCACAUCGGAUCAAACAAUAACAUGAAAUCAGUAAGAAGAUGCCGAUCACGAAAACUAAUAGCAGAGUUAGAAAUGAGAUAUAGCUAGUCUUGUGGCAGGAGACCAGGAAACUGGGUAACACUUUAUUUCGAUAGUCCACAUUAGACAUUCUACUAACAGUGAAAACGCCAUAGUGCUUGCCGCUGGAUUUGUCCCCACACACCACACAGUCCACCACGCAGGCCUUGUCCUCCUCGCCACCUUCUACAUCGCUGUUUCCCGCCCGGGGCGAGCUGCUCUCCUCCUCCCCCCGCAGGAGCUGCUUGAGAAACCUUCCCACGUCGAGAAUUCACAGCCACCCCGGAGCGAAUCCCUAAAAGCUGCAGACAGUAAGCCGAACAAGUCAGACUCGGAGGAGAAACACGCUUAACAGCCCUCUGAAGACC